GUAAUUCUAUGGCUAAUACAUGCGCACAUGCCUCUUCCCUCGUGGAAGGGUAGUGUUUAUUAGAUACAGAACCAACCCACCUUCGGGUGGUCCUCAGGUGAUUCAUAGUAACCGAACGGAUCGCAUUAUGGCCUUUUGGUCGGCGAUGGAUCAUUCAAGUUUCUGACCUAUCAGCUUUCGACGGUACUGUAUUGGACUACCGUGGCAGUGACGGGUAACGGGGAAUUAGGGUUCGAUUCCGGAGAGGGAGCCUGAGAAACGGCUACCACAUCUAAGGAAGGCAGCAGGCGCGCAAAUUACCCAAUCCUGACUCAGGGAGGUAGUGACAAGAAAUAACAACACUGGAAAUUAUAUUUCUAGUGAUUGGAAUGAUGGGAAUCCAAACCCCUUUCAGAGUAACAAUUGGAGGGCAAGUCUGGUGCCAGCAGCCGCGGUAAUUCCAGCUCCAAUAGCGUAUAUUAAAGUUGUUGCAGUUAAAAAGCUCGUAGUUGGAUAUCUGCUGGAAGCAGCCAGUCCGCCCUUUGUGGGUGUGCACUUGGUGAAUUCUGGCAUCCUCCUGAUUGGUGUUAUCAUCACUUCAUUGUGUUGAUGGCAGCUGUCAGGACCGUUACUUUGAGAAAAUUAGAGUGUUUCAAGCAGGCUUGUUGCCUUGAAUACUGCAGCAUGGAAUAACAAGAUAGGAUUUCGGUUCUAUUUUGUUGGUUUCUAGGACUGAAGUAAUGAUUAAUAGGGACAGUUGGGGGCAUUCGUAUUUAACUGUCAGAGGUGAAAUUCUUAGAUUUGUUAAAGACGAACUACUGCGAAAGCAAUUUUG
rnacentral:rRNA from 1 species